rnacentral:lncRNA from 1 species
AGAGAAUCCAUCAGCAGCUACACGUCUUCCCUCAGUGCUGCCUUCAAGUCUGCCACUUGUCUUUGACAAUGACUACAAACUGCCAGAGGAGGCAGUAGAGGGCACCAGCAAGUGUCCAGUUGCCAGUGAAGCAGCCGCUUCCGUGUCCACUGUCCUCCAAGAGGAGUUUUUGGCUGGUAAAAGUCCUCCUGCACCCGCAGCACUGCCUCUAAGGCUGCCCUGUACCCACAGCAUUGACCACAAACAGCUAUGGGAGACAGUUGAGGACAACACAGAGCGCUUAGUUGACACAGAGGAAAGUGCAGUUUCAUCCACUGUCAAGAGAGAGGAACUGAUAGGUGAUAAAAACCCUGUCCUAGCACUUCAUCCAAGCCUGGCAUGCAUCCAUGACAAAGACCACAAUGAUCCAAAUCAGAAAGGGAGGGGCACUACUAAGGAGGUGUAUCUCUGCACUCACGCUCACCAGCUGGACCCAGAUGCUAACUUAACUCUGUCAACCCACAAUGAUGAACCCAGGACCUGGACCCUGGAAGAGACAAAGGAUUAUUGGAUAGGCAUUGACAUUGAGAGUGAAGAGAGGAGCGUCCAGGAGGAGGUGAGACCGAGGGAGGGGUUGAAGUGUGAUGCGGACUGUGCCCAUUCCAAGAGCUCCAAUGGGAUGGUUUCAUCAGAGAGAGCAGAGACCAUCCUGGGAAGAGUGGGCUUUCUGGUCAGGAACCACAUGCAGAAAAUCCCAUUUUUGAAGAUGGAUAGAAAAGGGGAAAGUAAGAAACUGAAUAAGAAGUUGAAAGAUGACGAGAAAGAGAGAAAGGAGAUGAAAAACAAGGAGGAGGAGCAAAAAAAGAGGGAGAAGAAAGAGAUGAAAGAGAGAGAGAAAGAGCAGAAGAAAGUCAUGAAGGCUGAGAAAAAGAGGG